rnacentral:rRNA from 1 species
CCUACGGGUGGCAGCAGUGGGGAAUAUUGGACAAUGGGGGGAACCCUGAUCCAGCCAUGCCGCGUGUGUGAAGAAGGCCCUCGGGUUGUAAAGCACUUUCAGUGAGGAAGAACGCCUGGUGGUUAAUACCCAUCAGGAAAGACAUCACUCACAGAAGAAGCACCGGCUAACUCCGUGCCAGCAGCCGCGGUAAUACGGAGGGUGCGAGCGUUAAUCGGAAUUACUGGGCGUAAAGCGCGCGUAGGUGGCUUGAUAAGCCGGUUGUGAAAGCCCCGGGCUCAACCUGGUAACGGCAUCCGGAACUGUCAAGCUGGAGUGCAGGAGAGGAAGGUAGAAUUCCCGGUGUAGCGGUGAAAUGCGUAGAGAUCGGGAGGAAUACCAGUGGCGAAGGCGGCCUUCUGGACUGACACUGACACUGAGGUGCGAAAGCGUGGGUAGCAAACAGGAUUAGAUACCCGAGUAGUC